GAGCAUGUUCCCAAAGUCUGUGACUAGUGUGGCCAUCUGAUCUCCAAGUGCGCGCAAGAGCAACUUGGAGAGACCGUGACAGCUCAGGUCAGCAAAGUAUCUGCAGCUGCCACUCGCCUGUCCCAUAAAA
ensembl:snoRNA